rnacentral:rRNA from 1 species
UUAAGCGACUAAGCGUACACGGUGGAUGCCCUGGCAGUCAGAGGCGAUGAAGGACGUGCUAAUCUGCGAUAAGCGUCGGUAAGGUGAUAUGAACCGUUAUAACCGGCGAUUUCCGAAUGGGGAAACCCAGUGUGAUUCGUCACACUAUCAUUAACUGAAUUCAUAGGUUAAUGAGGCGAACCGGGGGAACUGAAACAUCUAAGUACCCCGAGGAAAAGAAAUCAACCGAGAUUCCCCCAGUAGCGGCGAGCGAACGGGGAGGAGCCCAGAGCCUGAAUCAGUGUGUGUGUUAGUGGAAGCGUCUGGAAAGGCGCGCGAUACAGGGUGACAGCCCCGUACACAAAAAUGCACAUGCUGUGAGCUCGAUGAGUAGGGCGGGACACGUGGUAUCCUGUCUGAAUAUGGGGGGACCAUCCUCCAAGGCUAAAUACUCCUGACUGACCGAUAGUGAACCAGUACCGUGAGGGAAAGGCGAAAAGAACCCCGGCGAGGGGAGUGAAAAAGAACCUGAAACCGUGUACGUACAAGCAGUGGGAGCCUCUUAAUGGGGUGACUGCGUACCUUUUGUAUAAUGGGUCAGCGACUUAUAUUCUGUAGCAAGGUUAACCGAAUAGGGGAGCCGAAGGGAAACCGAGUCUUAACUGGGCGUUAAGUUGCAGGGUAUAGACCCGAAACCCGGUGAUCUAGCCAUGGGCAGGUUGAAGGUUGGGUAACACUAACUGGAGGACCGAACCGACUAAUGUUGAAAAAUUAGCGGAUGACUUGUGGCUGGGGGUGAAAGGCCAAUCAAACCGGGAGAUAGCUGGUUCUCCCCGAAAGCUAUUUAGGUAGCGCCUCGUGAAUUCAUCUCCGGGGGUAGAGCACUGUUUCGGCAAGGGGGUCAUCCCGACUUACCAACCCGAUGCAAACUGCGAAUACCGGAGAAUGUUAUCACGGGAGACACACGGCGGGUGCUAACGUCCGUCGUGAAGAGGGAAACAACCCAGACCGCCAGCUAAGGUCCCAAAGUCAUGGUUAAGUGGGAAACGAUGUGGGAAGGCCCAGACAGCCAGGAUGUUGGCUUAGAAGCAGCCAUCAUUUAAAGAAAGCGUAAUAGCUCACUGGUCGAGUCGGCCUGCGCGGAAGAUGUAACGGGGCUAAACCAUGCACCGAAGCUGCGGCAGCGACGCUUAUGCGUUGUUGGGUAGGGGAGCGUUCUGUAAGCCUGCGAAGGUGUACUGUGAGGUAUGCUGGAGGUAUCAGAAGUGCGAAUGCUGACAUAAGUAACGAUAAAGCGGGUGAAAAGCCCGCUCGCCGGAAGACCAAGGGUUCCUGUCCAACGUUAAUCGGGGCAGGGUGAGUCGACCCCUAAGGCGAGGCCGAAAGGCGUAGUCGAUGGGAAACAGGUUAAUAUUCCUGUACUUGGUGUUACUGCGAAGGGGGGACGGAGAAGGCUAUGUUGGCCGGGCGACGGUUGUCCCGGUUUAAGCGUGUAGGCUGGUUUUCCAGGCAAAUCCGGAAAAUCAAGGCUGAGGCGUGAUGACGAGGCACUACGGUGCUGAAGUAACAAAUGCCCUGCUUCCAGGAAAAGCCUCUAAGCAUCAGGUAACAUCAAAUCGUACCCCAAACCGACACAGGUGGUCAGGUAGAGAAUACCAAGGCGCUUGAGAGAACUCGGGUGAAGGAACUAGGCAAAAUGGUGCCGUAACUUCGGGAGAAGGCACGCUGAUAUGUAGGUGAAGCGACUUGCUCGUGGAGCUGAAAUCAGUCGAAGAUACCAGCUGGCUGCAACUGUUUAUUAAAAACACAGCACUGUGCAAACACGAAAGUGGACGUAUACGGUGUGACGCCUGCCCGGUGCCGGAAGGUUAAUUGAUGGGGUUAGCGGUAACGCGAAGCUCUUGAUCGAAGCCCCGGUAAACGGCGGCCGUAACUAUAACGGUCCUAAGGUAGCGAAAUUCCUUGUCGGGUAAGUUCCGACCUGCACGAAUGGCGUAAUGAUGGCCAGGCUGUCUCCACCCGAGACUCAGUGAAAUUGAACUCGCUGUGAAGAUGCAGUGUACCCGCGGCAAGACGGAAAGACCCCGUGAACCUUUACUAUAGCUUGACACUGAACAUUGAGCCUUGAUGUGUAGGAUAGGUGGGAGGCUUUGAAGUGUGGACGCCAGUCUGCAUGGAGCCGACCUUGAAAUACCACCCUUUAAUGUUUGAUGUUCUAACGUUGGCCCCUAAUCGGGGUUGCGGACAGUGUCUGGUGGGUAGUUUGACUGGGGCGGUCUCCUCCUAAAGAGUAACGGAGGAGCACGAAGGUUGGCUAAUCCUGGUCGGACAUCAGGAGGUUAGUGCAAUGGCAUAAGCCAGCUUGACUGCGAGCGUGACGGCGCGAGCAGGUGCGAAAGCAGGUCAUAGUGAUCCGGUGGUUCUGAAUGGAAGGGCCAUCGCUCAACGGAUAAAAGGUACUCCGGGGAUAACAGGCUGAUACCGCCCAAGAGUUCAUAUCGACGGCGGUGUUUGGCACCUCGAUGUCGGCUCAUCACAUCCUGGGGCUGAAGUAGGUCCCAAGGGUAUGGCUGUUCGCCAUUUAAAGUGGUACGCGAGCUGGGUUUAGAACGUCGUGAGACAGUUCGGUCCCUAUCUGCCGUGGGCGCUGGAGAACUGAGGGGGGCUGCUCCUAGUACGAGAGGACCGGAGUGGACGCAUCACUGGUGUUCGGGUUGUCAUGCCAAUGGCACUGCCCGGUAGCUAAAUGCGGAAGAGAUAAGUGCUGAAAGCAUCUAAGCACGAAACUUGCCCCGAGAUGAGUUCUCCCUGACUCCUUGAGAGUCCUGAAGGAACGUUGAAGACGACGACGUUGAUAGGCCGGGUGUGUAAGCGCAGCGAUGCGUUGAGCUAACCGGUACUAAUGAACCGUGAGGCUUAACCU